AUGGGUGACACUGUUGUGGGUGUUUACUACAGGCCACCUGAUCAGGAAGAGGAAGUCGAUGAGGCCUUCUACAGACAGCUGGAAGUAGCCUCACGAUCACAGGCCCUGGUUCUCAUGGGGGACUUCAACCACCCUGUUAUCUGCUGGAGAGACAACACAGCUAGGCACAAACAGUCCCGGAGGUUCCUGCAGAGCAUUGAUGACAACUUCUUGACACAGGUGGUGGAGGAGCCAACAAGGAGAGGUGUGCUGCUGGACCUCGCACUAACAAGCAAAGAAGGACUGGUGGAAGAUGUGAAGGUUGGRGGCAGCCUUGGCUGCAGUGACCAUGAGAUGGUGGAGUUGAGGAUCCUGCGAGGAGGAGGCAGGGCACUAAGUAGGAUCGCAUCCCUGGACUUCAGGAGAGCAAACUUUGGCCUCUUCAGGGACCUACUUGGAGGAAUCCCAUGGGUUAGGACCCUAGAAGGAAGGGGUGUUCAAGAGAGCUGGUUAAUAUUCAAACAUCACUCCCUCCAGGUUCAAGAGCGGUGCGUCCCUAUGAGUAAGAAGUCAAGCAAAGGAGGUAGGAGACCUGUGUGGAUGAGCAAGGAGCUCCUGGCAAAACUCAACCAGAAGGAGGAAGUAUACAGAAAGUGGAAAGGGGGACAGGCCACUUGGGAGGAAUAUAGGAACGUUGCCAGAGCAUGCAGAGAUGCAACGAGGAAGGCUAAGGCCCAUUUGGAAUUAAAUCUGGCAAGAGAUGUCAAGGACAACAGGAAGGGCUUCUUCAAAUACCUCAGUAGCAAGAGGAGGACUAGGGAAAAUGUGGGCCCAUUGCUGAAUGGGAUGGGUGCCCUGGUGACAAAGGAUGCAGAGAAGGCAGAGUUACUGAAUGCCUUCUUUGCUUCAGUUGUCACUGCUGAGGUCAGCUCUCAGGAAUCCCAGACCCUGGAGGCAAGAGAGAAAGUCUGGAGAAAGGAAGACUUUCCCUUGGUUGAGGAGGUCGGGUUAGAGAUCAUUUAG
rnacentral:lncRNA from 1 species